rnacentral:ncRNA from 2 species
AUUUCUUUGGGCGAUGGGGUCCGCCCUAAUUGCCAAAAGGCUGAUGACUCCUAUCUCUAU